rnacentral:rRNA from 1 species
CCUACGGGAGGCAGCAGUAGGGAAUAUUGCUCAAUGGGGGAAACCCUGAAGCAGCAACGCCGCGUGGAGGAUGAAGGUUUUCGGAUUGUAAACUCCUUUUGUUAGAGAAGAUAAUGACGGUAUCUAACGAAUAAGAACCGGCUAACGCCGUGCCGGCAGCCGCGGUAAUACGGAGGGUGCAAGCGUUACGCGGAAUUACUGGGCGGAAAGAGCGCGUAGGCGGGAUAGCAAGUCAGAUGUGAAAUCCUAUGGCUUAACCAUCGAACUGCAUUUGAAACUGUUAUUCUAGAGUAUGGGAGAGGUAGGUGGAAUUCUUGGUGUAGGGGUGAAAUCCGUAGAGAUCAAGAGGAAUACUCAUUGCGAAGGCGACCUGCUAGAACAUAACUGACGCUGAUGCGCGAAAGCGUGGGGAGCAAACAGGAUUAGAUACCCGAGUAGUC